CACGUAGUUAGCCGUGGCUUUCUGAUUAGGUACCGUCAAGAUGUGCACAGUUACUUACACAUUUGUUCUUCCCUAAUAACAGAGUUUUACGAGCCGAAACCCUUCAUCACUCACGCGGCGUUGCUCCGUCAGGCUUUCGCCCAUUGCGGAAGAUUCCCUACUGCUGCCUCCCGUAGGAGUCUGAACCGUGUCUCAGUUCCAGUGUGGCCGAUCACCCUCUCAGGUCGGCUACGUAUCGUCGCCUUGGUAAGCCGUUACCUUACCAACUAGCUAAUACGGCGCGGGUCCAUCUAUAAGUGAUAGCAAAACCAUCUUUCACUUUAGAACCAUGCGGUUCUAAAUGUUAUCCGGUAUUAGCUCCGGUUUCCCGAAGUUAUCCCAGUCUUAUAGGUAGGUUACCCACGUGUUACUCACCCGUCCGCCGCUAACUUCAAAGGAGCAAGCUCCUUAUCUGUUCGCUCGACUUGCAUGUAUUAGGCACGCCGCCAGCGUUCAUCCUGAGCCAGGAUCAAACUCU
rnacentral:rRNA from 1 species